ACUCGGCGGCGGCUCUAGCGGGGAACUCGGUCUCGCACACGUAUCCGAAAUCCCUCGCCAGAUGGACGGCCUCACCUGCAAGAGGAGGAGGAGGAGGAGGAUGGCGACGAUAGAGGCAGUGAUGUGGGCAGGUCAGUGUUUGACGGUGUAUGUGUGUGUGUGUGAGUGUGCGUCGCACCCUCCACCAGAGAUGUUAGCAGAGUGACGUUGGCUGCCUUGCGUCGCCCGGCGGGCAGGUUGAGGCCAAUCUUCUCCAGACGCUCUCGCAGACAGCGGCCACCAUUCUUGGACUUCGCCCUGAGGGGAGUUGUGCAUCAGUUCCAUGGCCCACCUCAACUUGGUCACUGAGCGCAAGCCUCUUUUGGGGACUCCGCCCAACAGAGAAGCGUUGAGGCACUCGGGCGGGGAGAGCCGCCGCUGCACCUCCCCAACGGUGACCUUAUACUUGGAGGUGGAGCUGAGCAGCGACAGGC